rnacentral:tRNA from 1 species
GCCGAGGUGGCGAAAUCGGCAGACGCACAGGACUUAAAAUCCUGGGUCCGUAAGGACGUGUGGGUUCAAGUCCCACCCUCGGUACCA